rnacentral:rRNA from 1 species
UACGUAGGGUGCGAGCGUUGUCCGGAAUUAUUGGGCGUAAAGAGCUUGUAGGUGGUUUUGUCGCGUCUGCUGUGAAAAUCCGAGGCUCAACCUCGGACUUGCAGUGGGUACGGGCAGACUAGAGUGUGGUAGGGGGAGACUGGAAUUCCUGGUGUAGCGGUGGAAUGCGCAGAUAUCAGGAGGAACACCGAUGGCGAAGGCAGGUC